rnacentral:rRNA from 1 species
CCUACGGGAGGCAGCAGUGAGGAAUAUUGGUCAAUGGGCGGGAGCCUGAACCAGCCAAGCCGCGUGAGGGAAGAAGGUACAGCGUAUCGUAAACCUUUUUUGUCAGGGAACAAAGGCGGGGACUAGUCCACGGAUGAGGGUACCUGAAGAAAAAGCAUCGGCUAACUCCGUGCCAGCAGCAGCGGUAAUACGGAGGAUGCGAGCGUUAUCCGUAUUUAUUGGGUUUAAAGGGUGCGCAGGCGGCCUGUUAAGUCAGCGGUAAAAGCCCGGGGCUCAACCCCGGCGAGCCGUUGAUACUGGCGGGCUGGAGUUGGAGAGAAGUACGCGGAAUGCGCGGUGUAGCGGUGAAAUGCUUAGAUAUCGGGCAGAACCCCGAUUGCGAAGGCAGCGUACCGGCUCCACACUGACGCUGAGGCACGAAAGCGUGGGUAGCGAACAGGAUUAGAUACCCGUGUAGUC